rnacentral:rRNA from 13 species
AAGCGAAUUAUCUGGAAAGGUGCGCCAUAGUGGGUGAUAGCCCCGUAGCUGUAAAAUGAAGACCUUUUUGAGUAGGGCGGGACACGUGAAAUCCUGUCUGAACAUGGGGAGACCACUCUCCAAGCCUAAGUACUCGUGCAUGACCGAUAGCGAACCAGUACCGUGAGGGAAAGGUGAAAAGCACCCCGACGAGGGGAGUGAAACAGUUCCUGAAACCGGAUGCCUACAAACAGUUGGAGGGCGCAAGCCUGACAGCGUACCUUUUGUAUAAUGGGUCAGCGACUUAAU